rnacentral:rRNA from 1 species
CAGUCGCCGCGGUAAUACGGAGGGGGCUAGCGUUGUUCGGAAUUACUGGGCGUAAAGCGCACGUAGGCGGCUUGGUAAGUUAGAGGUGAAAGCCUGGAGCUCAACUCCAGAAUUGCCUUUAAGACUGCCGAGCUAGCAGGUGAGAGAGGUAAGUGGAAUUCCGAGUGUAGAGGUGAAAUUCGUAGAUAUUCGGAAGAACACCAGUGGCGAAGGCGGCUUACUGGCUCAUACUGGACGCUGAGGUGCGAUAGCGUGGGGAGCAAACAGGAUUAGAUACCCGCGUAGUCCCUGUCUCUUAUAC